UGCCGGCCGAGCACUUCCGCGUGCACACACAGUCCCUGCAGGCAGGUGCAGCGCCUCUGAGCCCAGGACCGUACAGGUCACUUGCAGCACGCUCAGCACAAGUCUUCCCCAUGUAUCAUCCACGCUCGCAUGCCAGCAUUUCCGUUGUGAGCUGGAGUGUGCAGGCAGAAGGAAAUAUGAGGACAGGUUGGUAUCUACAAGGAAUGACCAUCAGUAACUGUGACGGAGAAGGAAAGAGUCCGCCAUUACCACCUUUCCUGGCAGGGAAUUCCAAAUCCUUAUUGCCCUAACAGUGAAGAACCCUUUCCUCUGUUGCGUACAGGAUUUUCUCUCCUCCUGCGUCACCGAGUGCCCACGUGUACUAAACAGUGUUCUUUUAAUAAAUAAUUCUUCUGAUAA